rnacentral:rRNA from 1 species
UACGAAGGGGGCUAGCGUUGUUCGGAAUUACUGGGCGUAAAGCGCACGUAGGCGGCUUUGUAAGUUAGAGGUGAAAGCCCGGAGCUCAACUCCGGAAUUGCCUUUAAGACUGCAUCGCUUGAAUCCGGGAGAGGUGAGUGGAAUUCCGAGUGUAGAGGUGAAAUUCGUAGAUAUUAGGAAGAACACCAGUGGCGAAGGCGGCUCACUGGUCCGGUACUGAUGCUGAGGUGCGAAAGCGUGGGGAGCAAACAGG